rnacentral:rRNA from 1 species
GGAAUAUUGCACAAUGGGGGAAACCCUGAUGCAGCCAUGCCGCGUGUGUGAAGAAGGCCUUCGGGUUGUAAAGCACUUUCAGUAGGGAGGAAAGGGUGAGUCUUAAUACGGCUCAUCUGUGACGUUACCUACAGAAGAAGGACCGGCUAACUCCGUGCCAGCAGCCACGGUAAUACGGAGGGUCCGAGCGUUAAUCGGAAUUACUGGGCGUAAAGCGUGCGCAGGCGGUUUGUUAAGCGAGAUGUGAAAGCCCUGGGCUCAACCUAGGAAUAGCAUUUCGAACUGGCGAACUAGAGUCUUGUAGAGGGGGGUAGAAUUCCAGGUGUAGCGGUGAAAUGCGUAGAGAUCUGGAGGAAUACCGGUGGCGAAGGCGGCCCCCUGGACAAAGACUGACGCUCAUGCACGAAAGCGUGGGGAGCAAACAGGAUUAGAUACCCGAG